AGAGUUUGAUCAUGGCUCAGAUUGAACGCUGGCGGCAGACCUAACACAUGCAAGUCGAACGGUAACAGGAAACAGCUUGCUGUUUCGCUGACGAGUGGCGGACGGGUGAGUAAUGUCUGGGAAACUGCCUGAUGGAGGGGGAUAACUACUGGAAACGGUAGCUAAUACCGCAUAACGUCGCAAGACCAAAGAGGGGGACCUUCGGGCCUCUUGCCAUCAGAUGUGCCCAGAUGGGAUUAGCUAGUAGGUGGGGUAACGGCUCACCUAGGCGACGAUCCCUAGCUGGUCUGAGAGGAUGACCAGCCACACUGGAACUGAGACACGGUCCAGACUCCUACGGGAGGCAGCAGUGGGGAAUAUUGCACAAUGGGCGCAAGCCUGAUGCAGCCAUGCCGCGUGUAUGAAGAAGGCCUUCGGGUUGUAAAGUACUUUCAGCGGGGAGGAAGGGAGUAAAGUUAAUACCUUUGCUCAUUGACGUUACCCGCAGAAGAAGCACCGGCUAACUCCGUGCCAGCAGCCGCGGUAAUACGGAGGGUGCAAGCGUUAAUCGGAAUUACUGGGCGUAAAGCGCACGCAGGCGGUUUGUUAAGUCAGAUGUGAAAUCCCCGGGCUCAACCUGGGAACUGCAUCUGAUACUGGCAAGCUUGAGUCUCGUAGAGGGGGGUAGAAUUCCAGGUGUAGCGGUGAAAUGCGUAGAGAUCUGGAGGAAUACCGGUGGCGAAGGCGGCCCCCUGGACGAAGACUGACGCUCAGGUGCGAAAGCGUGGGGAGCAAACAGGAUUAGAUACCCUGGUAGUCCACGCCGUAAACGAUGUCGACUUGGAGGUUGUGCCCUUGAGGCGUGGCUUCCGGAGCUAACGCGUUAAGUCGACCGCCUGGGGAGCACGGCCGCAAGGUUAGAACUCAAAUGAAUUGACGGGGGCCCGCACAAGCGGUGGAGCAUGUGGUUUAAUUCGAUGCAACGCGAAGAACCUUACCUGGUCUUGACAUCCACGGAAGUUUUCAGAGAUGAGAAUGUGCCUUCGGGAACCGUGAGACAGGUGCUGCAUGGCUGUCGUCAGCUCGUGUUGUGAAAUGUUGGGUUAAGUCCCGCAACGAGCGCAACCCUUAUCCUUUGUUGCCAGCGGUCCGGCCGGGAACUCAAUGGAGACUGCCAGUGAUAAACUGGAGGAAGGUGGGGAUGACGUCAAGUCAUCAUGGCCCUUACGACCAGGGCUACACACGUGCUACAAUGGCGCAUACAAAGAGAAGCGACCUCGCGAGAGCAAGCGGACCUCAUAAAGUGCGUCGUAGUCCGGAUUGGAGUCUGCAACUCGACUCCAUGAAGUCGGAAUCGCUAGUAAUCGUGGAUCAGAAUGCCACGGUGAAUACGUUCCCGGGCCUUGUACACACCGCCCGUCACACCAUGGGAGUGGGUUGCAAAAGAAGUAGGUAGCUUAACCUUCGGGAGGGCGCUUACCACUUUGUGAUUCAUGACUGGGGUGAAGUCGUAACAAGGUAACCGUAGGGGAACCUGCGGUUG
rnacentral:rRNA from 1 species